GAUGAACGCUGGCGGCGUGCCUAAUACAUGCAAGUCGAGCGAACGGACGAGAAGCUUGCUUCUCUGAUGUUAGCGGCGGACGGGUGAGUAACACGUGGAUAACCUACCUAUAAGACUGGGAUAACUUCGGGAAACCGGAGCUAAUACCGGAUAAUAUUUUGAACCGCAUGGUUCAAAAGUAAAAGACGGUCUUGCUGUCACUUAUAGAUGGAUCCGCGCUGCAUUAGCUAGUUGGUAAGGUAACGGCUUACCAAGGCAACGAUGCAUAGCCGACCUGAGAGGGUGAUCGGCCACACUGGAACUGAGACACGGUCCAGACUCCUACGGGAGGCAGCAGUAGGGAAUCUUCCGCAAUGGGCGAAAGCCUGACGGAGCAACGCCGCGUGAGUGAUGAAGGUCUUCGGAUCGUAAAACUCUGUUAUUAGGGAAGAACAUAUGUGUAAGUAACUGUGCACAUCUUGACGGUACCUAAUCAGAAAGCCACGGCUAACUAUGUG
rnacentral:rRNA from 1 species